GUCAUGGCACUAAAAUAAUUUUCCCACGAAGUCCCCCUCGCAGUAAUGUCAUUUCUUCUGGUAUUUCACUUCUAAGUUCGAAAUGGAUUUAGGUGAUUUAAAACCAGAAUAAAAAGCACCACAAA
rnacentral:rRNA from 1 species